UUGACCUGCACAGCAUUUGUACAGGCCAGCCACAUGUUUUAGUGUGAGAGUUAGAACUAAUCUGUUCAAGGAAGAACUAACUUUGGAUGUUGAACCUCAGGUUCAAGAGCAAUAUCCCAGGAGCAGAAGGGAGUGGGGCUGAAUUGCCCCCUGACCAGCUGGGAUAUCAUCCCCAAGUUGUCAAAGACUGGCAAGGACCAGCUGCAUGAUUAAUCCCACAUCACUCACCGGAGUCCUCAGAAAUGUCCUCCCUGAUCUAGCUGUUCAUCUCCAAUUUCGACCCAGGCAUGAAGAGACAGGAGCAGAGUCCUACCAGCCCAGUUCCUGGCACUGCCUAUUUUACCCAAGUGUCUGUUCCCAAUUUGCUGUGUAAUGAAGUGACACAGGGCUUAGGAACGUCCCCUGGAACAAACUACCAACCCCCACCGCCUACUGCGACGGGGAGGCUCGUGGCUCUGACUUCAUGGCACCCGGGACUAACAAGCACAGAGCUACUGCAGCAGCCCUGACAAGAAUGAAAAAGCAACCAGACUCCAUACGUCCGCCCAGUACUGAGGGGGAAGUGAGUGAGGACAGAUUUUCCAUUCUAUAGCCAGAGGCCCAUCUUACGGGAAAUUUCAGUCAGUAAAAGCAAAAUGUUACUGGAAUGUUGCC